UUUUAUGCUCUGAUGGACUGGGAAAACAAAAUUGAUCCUUUACGCUGCAUAUCAAUGCAUGAAAUUACAAAGCCUAAUCCGUUUGCUCAGAAAGAUGAUUCAACUAUAUUUGUCAAUUUCCAGCUGGGUGAUCUGGAGUCAAGAGUAUCACUGCAGUUUGUUUGUUUUGUUGAUGAAGCAUUCCACCAGAUUGAAAGAAAUAAUAGCAAUGUUAAGAAAAUAGGUCUACAUUGUAAAGGACUUGAAUGAGUGGCCUGUGCUUAAAGCCCUUCCAUCUUAUGGCAGAGGAAGAGAUGCAGCAGCUGUAAGGAUCCUAAGCUGGAAAAAUUGCACGCUGAUCAAAUUGCAGCUCUGAAGGGUUGUUUCAGUUGGUAACAAAGAAGCAAAAGUUUUAUGUCAGUCAUUUUAUCACUUAGCAUUUCACUGACUCGGUUGCUAUAUCCCUACAAGUGCAAGAACUCUGUCUCUCUCAGGCAAG